rnacentral:rRNA from 1 species
UAAGGAAUAUUGGUCAAUGGACGCAAGUCUGAACCAGCCAUGCCGCGUGGAGGAUGAAGGUCCUCUGGAUUGUAAACUUCUUUUAUCUGGGACGAAACACUUCUUUUCUAAGAGGCCUGACGGUACCAGAUGAAUAAGCACCGGCUAACUCCGUGCCAGCAGCCGCGGUAAUACGGAGGGUGCGAGCGUUAUCCGGACUUACUGGGUUUAAAGGGUGCGUAGGUGGGCUUAUAAGUCAGUGGUGAAAUCUCCGAGCUUAACUUGGAAACUGCCGUUGAUACUAUAGGUCUUGAAUUAUCUGGAGGUAAGCGGAAUAUGUCAUGUAGCGGUGAAAUGCUUAGAUAUGACAUAGAACACCAAUUGCGAAGGCAGCUUACUACAUAUAAAUUGACGCUGAGGCACGAAAGCGUGGGGAUCAAACA